rnacentral:lncRNA from 10 species
GCAGUGUGGGCCCAGCUGACGGAGGUCAAGGAGGACAGAGUGACUGCCCACAGAGGCCCCCCACCUCCCAGACCCCUCGAGGGUGUUCGGGGACACACCCAGGGUGACAUAAAGAGGCAUGCCCUCUGCACCACCGUGUGGGCCUCUUCACAGCCCCCAGCCGCCCACCUUCUGCACCAGGGGCUUCUACUGCAGCCCCCAUGCCAGCCUGGCACUGGUGCCUGACAGAGGGUGGCCCACUUGCCUCCAGACAAGAACAGUGCUGGGAUGUCAUUGACGCUCCAGGGCCCCCAGCCUCGUGGAUCCGGCCAGGGCUGGCCACUGGGGCUGGGCCCUGCUGUCCCUGUCUCAAGUUCUGCCUCUAGUUCUGCUUCUAGGUGACAUUUUAUCAUCUUGAUGACUAGGAGGAAAUGCCUGCUGUUUACCGACUGCGGCCAGCGCUGCUGUUUCUCUGGGUAAGACAGGCAGGUGGUGCG